rnacentral:rRNA from 1 species
AGAGUUUGAUCAUGGCUCAGAACGAACGCUGGCGGCGUGGAUGAGGCAUGCAAGUCGAACGCUCUUUGUCGUGUAGCAAUAUAUGGCAAAGGGAGUGGCGCAAGGGUGAGGAAUACGUGGGUAAUCUGCCUCCUAGAUGGGCACAACCUGGCGAAAGCCGGACUAAUUCCCAAUGUGGUAGCUUCGGGCAUCCGAGGCGAUCUGAAGACGGGGACCGCAAGGCCUGUCACUAGGAGAUGAGCUCACGCCCUAUCAGCUUGUUGGUGAGGUAACGGCUCACCAAGGCUUACGGGUAGCUGGUCUGAGAGGACGAUCAGCCACACUGGGACUGAGACACUGCCCAGACUCCUACGGGAGGCUGCAGUCGAGAAUCUUUCGCAAUGGGGGAAACCCUGACGAAGCGACGCCGCGUGCAGGAUGAAGGCCUUCGGGUCGUAAACUGCUGUCUUUCGGGAGCAAGGAACUGCCGUGAAUAACGGCCGAACUUGAUAGUACCGGAGGAGAGCC